UACGAGAGGCCCAAACGUUAUUCGGAAUUACUGGGCUUAAAGAGUUCGUAGGCGGUAUGAAAAGUAGGGUGUGAAAGCCCUCGGCUCAACCGAGGAAUUGCGCUCUAAACUGUCGUACUCGAGGAACCUAGAGGUGAGCAGAACAGAUGGUGGAGCGGUGAAAUGCGUUGAUAUUGGAAGGAACGCCGGUGGCGAAAGCGACACACUGGACCUUGUCUGACGCUGAGGCACGAAAGCUAGGGGAGCAAACAGG
rnacentral:rRNA from 1 species